GGCUCUUUGCCCUUCACUUUUCUGCUCCAUGAGAACACAGUGGUCCUCCCUCCUGGAGGAUGCUGCAUCCAGACAUCGUUGUGGAAGCAGAGAGAAGAGGCCCUCUCCUGAUGCUGAAACCGCACUGCCUUGCUCUGGGACAUCCAUCUGGGCUUCCUCCAGCUGACAGCAUUGGGGACAUCCAUCUGGAAAUGCCAGGGAGACAGCCCAGGAGGAUCUAGGAUGUAUGACCCUAGCUCCAUCUGUGGGCAGGCCUGUGCUGGUGACUACUCCCCAGGGCUGAAGCCCCAGUUGUGACUUACUCAGUUCCUCACUGAAUCAGCUGUGGUGCCUCUCUGUCUCCCUUCCUAGGACCCUCAGCAUCCCCUCCAAAUAAAGGGAAUUGGCUCCAAUCCUGGGUCGGGUCUGCUUCUGGGGACACUCUGUGACAAAAUCUGCAUGCCAUCUUAAUAAAGGUCAGAAAUGUU